rnacentral:rRNA from 1 species
UACGUAGGGGCCGAGCGUUGUCCGGAUUCAUUGGGCGUAAAGAGCGUGUAGGCGGCCUGAAAGGUCAGCUGUGAAAACUCGAGGCUCAACCUCGAGACGUCGGUUGAAACCAUCUGGCUAGAGUCCGGAAGAGGAGUGUGGAAUUCCCGGUGUAGCGGUGAAAUGCGCAGAUAUCGGGAAGAACACCCGUGGCGAAGGCGGCACUCUGGGACGGUACUGACGCUGAGACGCGAAAGCGUGGGGAGCGAACAGG